CCCUAUCAAGGUUAUUGGCCGCCAUCUUGGACUGGGGGCAAACAUUGGGGGCUGACGUCAUAAUAACAAUGGCUGAAUCGAGCUCCGCAAUAUAAUCGCCGCGUAUAAUUUACCUGCGUCGUAACAAGUGUACCUAGGUGUGCAGAAGAGACCCCAAGAAGAGAAGAUAUCCUAGAAACACCUGAAGGCGUGUCUCAGUCUCGGAGUCAGAGUUAAAGACACAGGAUAUGACAUGGCAGGAUGCAGCUAAAGCAGCUCUGAAUCGAGUUCGUUGGAGGACUGUCAUCAAUGGCCUAUGUUCCUCAGAGAAGGACAGGCCGAAGUAAGUACAUGAACUAAGUAGCAGAAGAGUGCUCUUUUAACACUGCAG